UACAGAGGUGGCAGGCGUUGUUCGGAAUUACUGGGCGUAAAGGGCGCGUAGGCGGUCUUGUCAGUCCCUUGUGAAAUCCCCCGGCUCAACUGGGGAACUGCACGGGAAACAGCAGGGCUUGAGUUCGGGAGAGGGAAGCGGAAUUCCGGGUGUAGCGGUGAAAUGCGUAGAUAUCCGGAGGAACACCGGUGGCGAAGGCGGCUUCCUGGACCGAUACUGACGCUGAGGCGCGAAAGCUAGGGGAGCAAACGGG
rnacentral:rRNA from 1 species